AUAUAUAGACACACACAUGUAGGGAUUGGUAUCAUAAGGAUUUGUUUUACCAAAGUCGUCCAUGAGGUCAGUACAGUAGACUUUUCUUCGCUCACCAUCAAAAGUAUAAUUCAUGUUAUUUAAAUGCGACAAACAACAAAAAAGUUGUAAUAUACCUAAGUAUGUUUAUGUUCAAAAUAUAAAUUUUGUUUAUUCCUACAGUUCAGCAGUCAACCAAAUCUCUCUCAUGCAAUGCAACACGACACGAGGAAUUAAUCUCUAUCAUCACCCCUCGGUCCGAAGUGCCCAACUCUCUUUUCUUC
rnacentral:lncRNA from 1 species